UCGGUCCUCCGGGUAAUCCCCCCCCUAGUCUCUGUGGUAUAGUGCUUUACUCGCGUCUCUUCGUCUGCUGUAGAGGAUUCUCAAUUUCCUGACGGUCUCAGCAGCUUUUCACGAACUCAUCAUGGAUUCAUAGAGAAUACGGGAAAGGACGGAGGAUUGCUGCAGCCCAGCUGUUCCUCUGGAGACGUGCUGGAUUGAGCUCAGCAGGUUGAAAGGUGCUGUAGGCUGGAACAGGACUGAAGGGAAUGGAAUACCUUCAAAGCUCCAAAUAAACCCCUUUUCACAGCUGCCUAUCCCAUUGAAAACCUUUCGUUUUGCAUGCAGCACAGAAACCAGGACCGGAGGACACAGUUGGAAAUUAAGUGGCGAUAGACCGAGAACAGAGGAGUUGUGUGCAGACCAAGGCCUAGAGAGGAUGGGUAAGAGGCGCUGUGUUCCCCCACUGGAGGCCAAGCUGGCAUCCAGCUGCUGUAGGGUGAAGAAGCCCAAGCUAUGUGGGAGUGGCCACGGGACACCCCCAGGCUCCAGCUCCAGCCCCAGCCAGGGCCCCAACCCCCAGCAUGGCAUAGAGG